GACAUCACCAUGAAAUCCUGAGCUUUUAAUUUUCUCUCAGUUGAAACUUUGUGAAAAUUUUGUCAACAGAAAAGAGAGAGAGAAAAAAAGAAACAGAUAAGAUAAACAUCUUAAUCUAUUCAUUCAUCUUCAUGAAGCAUCUUCACAUCUUCCACCCACUUAUCCGCCUCAUCCUCAUCUUCAUUUUCAUCCUCAUCUUCAUCUUCAUCCUUCAUCUUUUGUCUUAUCGUCUCUGAGAAACCAUGUUAACAUUUAUCAGAACUUUUCUUUCCUCUGAGUAAAAAAACAAUUUUUCAGUUUUCCACCCAAAGUUCAGUGAAAACAUAAUUCGUGUUGAUUAAAAUACACUUAAUAAACUUUUUCAUCAACAUUAAUUAUCACUUAAUUAACACAAUCUUACCCGGAAAUUAAUCGCAAUCAAAAACAAGAAGCCGAUAUAAUUAUAAAUUGUUUUUUUCUUGAGUCAAUUUUUCAUCAGAUUAAAUUGAUUACCAAGCAACAUAAUUUCAUGACAAUCACCAUAACCACAAUUAGCAAAAAACAAUUUAUCCUAUCAAAUUAAAUUGCUCUUCGUGACAAUUAAGUACCAAUUACUAAUCAAACUUUCAUUUGGUUAACAAUUUGAAACAAUCAACCAUCAUUAUCAUCACCAUGAUUACCCUGAAAUUAAAUUUUCUUACUCAAAUCCUUAAUUACCUUAACCUCCCAUCUCGAGUGAUUUAAAUUGUUACCCAAUUAACAUGAUCAAAGUUUAACAAUUUAAAUCAUUAAAAUCAACUGAUGGUGUUGAUGAUUAGCAAUUGUAAUUUUGUUGAUUGUUUGCUGAUGAUGAUGAUGAUGGUUAAUCAAUUUACUUCAUUUCAAUUGUAACCAAUGAUUUAUGAUCUUCAAGAUGAAUUAAAUUUAACUUUUAAAUUGUACCAAUUGAUAACAAUUGAAUCAAGCAAAGUGAUUUGUCAAACAAUCAAUUGCAGUCUCUAUUGUUCAAUUGUAAGAAUCAAUAUUGUUAAUCAUUAUCAGUAUGUUGAUCAUGAUUAAGGUUGAUUGACAUUGAUUAACACUUAUCAUGAUUUUGUGUAAUAGUCAAUUAUGACAAUUGAACCAAUUAAAUUGAAACAUGAGAUGAAUGUUAAUCAUGAUCAUAAUCAUCAUCUCAAUCAUGUUGAUUGUCAGUUAAUUGUCAUUUAUAUAUUUUGAUUAACUUGAUUAAAUUGUUAUGUAUGAUUAUCAGUUAAUCACUACAAUUGAAUCAUUUUAAACAUUCAAUUUCCGUUUCCUAUUCAAUCAAUAAAAAUCAAUUUCAACUUGUGACAAGUGUAUUUUCAGUUUGACAAUUUAAAUCAAAUCAAUUCUCAAUCAAAUACUUUUUUUUAUUAAAACGAUUAAUCAAAAAAAUCAAUUUCAACUUUAACCAAGUAAUUGACAUUUCAAUUGAUUGUUAAAUUGUCAAUAAUUCAUCAUUAUCGUUAAUUGUUACAUUUACAAGUCUAUUUAAUAUUUUCUUCUUGAUCAAUUUAAUCAACGAUUAACUUUGAACAUUAAGUGAAGUGUUACAAGUUAAAUUAAUCGUGAAUAUUGAGAGAGAGAUUGAGAUGACCAUUGAGAUGGACACUCGAAUAUUUCAAUUGGAAGUCAAAGUGAAAUCAAUGUCAAAGUCUCUCAUCUUCACCUCAUCAUCCACCUCCCACUCUUGUUGAAUUUGCCUGCAUCUUGUAUCUUACCUUACGAUGUUGAUAUUGAGUGAGUAUUUACUCAUCAGAAAGGUGGGGAGGGAAUGAGAGAGAGAGAGAGAGUGAAUCAUGGGUGGAUAUUCAGAACUUUAUUCCGUGUCAGAAUCGUUGAACUUUCCCCGUCCACAUGAACAAAAACCGAAUAUUUUUCCCUGUUUUCCAUCCUGAUAAAGAUGAAAUCGUGAGUGUAAAAUGUCAAGUGAAAUGUCAAAUGACCAGAGAGCCAUGAAAUUGGUGAGAAACUCAUAUAUUAAACACCAAGGGAAAAUCGAGAUCACAUUAUCAUGAUCUCAAUGAAAAUGAGGCAAAAAAAAAAUGUACACUAUGAGUUAAUAUAAAAAUGGACAUUUAUAUUAUCAUAUAUUAUUUGAUCAUGAUGAUUACACACUUAACUUGUCAAAAAAUGAUUCCCAUGAUAUUGAAUAUGUAAUAUUUCAUGUUAUGUUCAAUUCAAGUGCCAUCAGAAUGAUGAUACAUUUAUGUACAUAUCUUGUCACCAAUUGAAACAAUAGAUAUCACCAUUGGUGAGAAAUAAACUAUUGAAAUUUUAAUCUCUAUUAAUGUUUUACAUGAUGAUUCAAAGAUUCAUAGAUUUCAGUGAAUCAUAUCAUUCAGGGUGAACAUUAUUGUCACCGAUUAACUCAUGAAUGAAUUUGUUACAAUAAUGAAAAACCUACAAUUUAAUAUUAUCGCUUACACAUUAAUGAUAAUCUCAAAUUUACUCAGUCGGUAGGAACUUUUUUCAUAUUAUUCUGAAUGAAAAAAGUUCAGUUCUUCCCACCCAGUCAACUAUGAUAUCCAUUUGACACCUGUACAGGUAAAUGAUAGAUGUACCAACUGAACUACUCAUUUUCUUACCUGAAUCUUAAAAUUAUCAUGAAGAUUUUUGUUUCCUUUGGUGGAAAAGUUCAGUUGAUUGAUGAAAGUUCAAAAUUCAUUGGAAAUUGUUUUCUUUUCACUCCAGAGAGUGGGUGGGAAGGGUUAGGUUGAUGACAGAAUUAAUUAACUUUUUUCUGGUGAUAUUAUUUGAUGAACUUUUCUUUUUGUUACAUGGAAAUUAUUAUCUACCCAUGAUAUCGUCAGAAUUAUUAUAUUAACAAGAACAAAUUUUUUCCAAGAAAUUUUUUCUCUUUUUCCAUUUUUAUUUGAGUUUAAAUUGAUCAACACCACGAAUUCAAUGAGAAAUUGAAACAAAAGGUAUAAUCA